rnacentral:lncRNA from 1 species
GUAAAUGAGUUUUCAGGGGAGGGUCAGGCUUCUGGUGGGGUAGAGCUGGCAGGACCGGUGAUGGGAUUGGAUGUUGUCACCCCACGCUGUCAUCUGAGGCAGGGCUGGAUUGAUUGCAUCAUUUAAAUUUCUAUGUCAUGAGCUUCCCUAUGAAGAGGCCAAUAUGACAAAAGACAAAGAAAGACCUCUGGACAACAGCCAGCAAGGAACCAAGGCCUUCAGUCCUCCAGGUUAUGAGGAAGGGAAGCCUCUAACAAUUCUAGAGAAAAGGCAACGUGAAGACACUAAGAGGAGAAGAUGGCCAUCUACAAGCUGAGAAGAUACCAAUCCUGCCAACAGCUUGAUCUUGGACGUCCAGCCUCCAGAAUGUGAGAAAAUAAAAGUCUGUUGUUUAAGCCA